GUUAAACUACUUUUGAGAUCUGCAUGCAUCUAAAAAUAAAGCAUCUGAAAAAAGCAUCCCUUCAGAAGAGUGAGCAUUAUGAGUCAUGGCAUAGAGCACAACAAACAUCAGAACUCUGUAUGCUAACAUUUUGUAGGAAUAUUUUAGUUUUGCCCCUUUUGGCAUUGCUAAGGCAUGGUGUUUGUAAACUUGUUAAAGUUAUAACUAAACUAAAACUUACAUUCACACACUAAGAAAUCAAGAGGUAUCAAAUUCUUCAUUUCAAAAAUCAAAAAUGAAAGACCAAUUUCGAAAGAAACGUAUACUAAUGACAAUUUUGUCCUUUUUGCUUAAGGUGCAGAAUUUGCCCCACUUCAGAAAUGUAUGGCUCUCCGAAGACCUCAAUUUUUUAUUCAUUUGACCUUUCAGUUCACUCAAAGACUUCUUUUAAUUUAUAGAUCUCUGCAUGGGCAAACAAAUAUGUGCUGUUAUUUCAUGGAAUGACGACUCUUCCAAAGAUAAGAAGACAGACAGGAUUACAUCCUCUGAACAAAGCUUGAGAGCAGAACACCUCCUCACUGGUCUCCCUGAUGCUUUUUGGACACCUUUGUUCCUGUGCCUCCAUGGACCUGUCCUCUGGCAUCACAGCAGCAUUCCUGGGCCUUUGGUGAGAAGAGUCUUGGCAGUGUUGCGUAGGCAGGAAAUGCAUCUUUGGUGAAAGCAACUUGCAGAGGUUUGCCUGUUCUUAUUUAAAACCAAGAAGAGACAGCAGUUCUUUUCUUUCAGCUCUGAUAGCUUAAUACUUCAGCACUGCACUUAAGUUUUGUGAUUUUUAGUUCUGUUCCUUUGAAUUAUUAAAUAAAAGCACACACACAGUUAGAAAUACCA
rnacentral:lncRNA from 1 species